CGGCUCGAACUGACCGAGGUCAAUCUCGACCGUCUUCAGGAAGCCGUCGAUGCCAAGAAGCUCGAUGCGAGCGCGACCGUCAACGCGGAGUCGCUGGUGAAGUCCGGACUGCUGCGCCGUUCGAAGGACGGCGUGCGGCUGCUCGGCCGCGGCGAACUCAAGGCCAAGCUCAACAUCGAAGUGCACGGCGCGACCAAGUCCGCGAUCGAGGCAGUCGAGAAGGCUGGCGGUUCGGUGAAGAUCCUGGCUCCGGCGAAGGACGCUGCCGCCCAGAAGGCUGCUGCCAAGAAGCCGAACAGGAAGGCCUCGUAAGGUUCGACCGAUCCCGCCUUUG
rnacentral:misc_RNA from 1 species